UACGUAGGGCGCAAGCGUUAUCCGGAAUUAUUGGGCGUAAAGAGCUCGUAGGCGGUUUGUCGCGUCUGCCGUGAAAGUCCGGGGCUCAACUCCGGAUCUGCGGUGGGUACGGGCAGACUAGAGUGAUGUAGGGGAGACUGGAAUUCCUGGUGUAGCGGUGAAAUGCGCAGAUAUCAGGAGGAACACCGGUGGCGAAGGCGGCUAUCUGGCUCACAACUGACGAUCAGGCACGAAAGCGUGGGGAGCAAACAGG
rnacentral:rRNA from 1 species